GUGAUAUCGGAUAAGUUAAUAAAUAUUUGUGUCAAUAACUAAAUGCAUUUAAAACAAAUCAACUUUGUCAGCGAGAAGAAGAAUUUGAAAGUGGAUGCAGAUUUGAAGAAUGAUUUCAAUAUCGAACCGAUUUGUUGGCUUCUUCGUAUGGAUUAUCGGUUUUAACGUCUUCUACAAUACCACCUCAAGUGUUACAAAUUCAAAACAUACGUGUGCCCUUCCUUGGAAAAGAAAUUUUGGAUUAACAACCAAUGCAACAGAUGAGACCGGAAGAUUUUUCGACGGAUUGAGAACUAUAAUCACGGGUUUUUUAUAUAGUCAUGAAGAAGGUAAGAUAUAUCAAAAUUCCUUUUAAAAAAAAAUACCAAUAGUUUAACAUAGAUAUAUAUUAAAAGAAGGAAACAAAAUGAAAUAUAUCUUGAUAACGAACAGUACUCAAGCUCAAAAGUCCAUCAAACAAGUAAAAUAGGAGUAGAGCAAGCACAAAUUUCUUAAACAUAAGAGAUGGGAUCAAGUGCCAUGGAGGAGUGAGCAUCCCCCCUCAAAUAAUCAUCAGAUUUAUAUGAUAUUCAAUUUCUGUAAUUAAGGUUGUUUAUACAAAACAUUUUCUAAGCAUAUAUUAAUAGGUUUUAAAGGAGAAAGAUAAUGCUUU